GCCAGCAGCCAUGUCACCCUGGACUCCCAGCUGGCCACCCACUGGAGCCCAGCAGGUGUGAGCCUGGUCAGUACCUGGAUAGGAGACUCCUGGGAAAGCUAAGGCUGCUGCUGGAA
rnacentral:rRNA from 1 species